rnacentral:lncRNA from 1 species
GAUGUGCCUUCGGGCUGGGACAUGCUGUGCCACCUGGCACCAGAUAUGAGCAGUGCUUUGCGUUUGAUUAGGCGUCACUGGACUACAUGCCCGGUGUGCCUGGUUUAGCGUCGGGUGCUGUAGACAGCGCUUCAUGCGCAGACACGGGUUGCCGCAGGAUGUGGGGCUUUGGCGGGCUUAGGCUUGGCUUCGACUCAUGAGUGUUGCACCCGAGACACGCUUUAUGCGAAGACCUAUUGCACGGUUGUCGAAGGUCGGUAGCCAACUGGGGGGAGGGUGGUUUCCCUUCGGGCCGGAGAUGGUCCCUCUUGACCUGGGUGCGGGGCACCCUUGCUUGGUCGGACUGUCCCUUCUUUGUAAUGUCGCAAUCAUGUCGGACACGGGUUGCCGCAGGAUGUGGGGCUUUGGCGGGCUUAGGCUUGGCUUCGACUCAUGAGUGUUGCACCCGAGACACGCUUUAUGCGAAGACCUCUUGCACGGUUGUCGAAGGUCGGUAGCCAACUGGGGGGCGGGUGGUUUCCCUUCGGGCCGGAGAUGGUCCCUCUUGACCUGGGUGCGGGGCACCCUUGCUUGGUCGGCCUGUCCCUUCUUUGUAAUGUCGCAAUCAUGUCGGACUGUCCCUUCAAUUGUAAUUCGCAUCCAUAACGAAGCUACAAUAAACAGGUUAACAGGACCGGAAGCGCAGGAUCCACCGAAGCAACUGGAGCCGCCCCAACUCA